UACGUAGGGGGCAAGCGUUGUCCGGAUUUAUUGGGCGUAAAGAGCGUGUAGGCGGCCAGGUAGGUCUGCUGUGAAAACUCGAGGCUUAACCUCGAGCUGUCGGCGGAAACCCUCUGGCUAGAGUCCGGAAGAGGAGAAUGGAAUUCCCGGUGUAGCGGUGAAAUGCGCAGAUAUCGGGAAGAACACCCGUGGCGAAGGCGGUUCUCUGGGACGGUACUGACGCUGAGGAGCGAAAGCGUGGGUAGCAAACAGG
rnacentral:rRNA from 1 species